rnacentral:piRNA from 1 species
GUAGGAUGAAAACACUGGGGCUGAAAUGC